rnacentral:rRNA from 1 species
UACGGGGGGGGCAAGCGUUGUUCGGAAUUACUGGGCGUAAAGGGUUUGUAGGUGGCUUGUUAAGUCAGACGUGAAAUCCCUCAGCUUAACUGGGGAACUGCGUCUGAUACUGGCGAGCUUGAGUGCAGGAGAGGAACGCGGAAUUCCGGGUGUAGCGGUGAAAUGCGUAGAUAUCUGGAGGAACACCGGUGGCGAAGGCGGCGUUCUGGACUGCAACUGACACUGAGAAACGAAAGCCAGGGUAGCAAACGGG